rnacentral:rRNA from 1 species
UACGUAGGGCGCGAGCGUUGUCCGGAAUCAUUGGGCGUAAAGGGCGCGUAGGUGGCCCGGUCAGUUCGUGGUGAAAGCGCGGGGCUCAACCCUGCGUCGGCCAUGAAUACUGCCGCGGCUGGAGCACUGUAGAGGCAGGCGGAAUUCCGGGUGUAGCGGUGGAAUGCGUAGAGAUCCGGAAGAACACCGGUGGCGAAGGCGGCCUGCUGGGCAGUUGCUGACACUGAGGCGCGACAGCGUGGGGAGCAAACAGG